rnacentral:rRNA from 1 species
AGUGAACGCUGGCGGUAGGCCUAACACAUGCAAGUCGAACGGCAGCACAGUAAGAGCUUGCUCUGACGGGUGGCGAGGGGCGGACGGUGGAGGAAUACAUCGGAAUAUACUUUUUCGUGGGUGAUAACGUAGGGAAACUUACGCUAAUACCGCAUACGACCUACGGGUGAAAUCAGGGGAUCUUCGGACCUUUCGCGAUUGAAUGAGCCGAUGUCGGAUUAGCUAGUUGGCGGGGUAAAGGCCCACCAAGGCGACGAUCCGUAGCUGGUCUGAGAGGAUGAUCAGCCACACUGGAACUGAGAAACGGUCCAGACUCCUACGGGAGGCAGCCGUGGGGAAUAUUGGAGAAUGGGCGCAAGAUUGAUCCAGACAUACCGAGUGGGUGAAGAAGGCCUUCGGGUUGUAAAGCCCUUUUGUUGGGAAAGAAAAGCAGCAGGUUAAUACCCCGCUGUUCUGACGGUACCCAAAGAAUAAGCAGCGGCUAACUUCGUG